rnacentral:rRNA from 1 species
GAUGAACGCUGGCGGCGUGCUUAACACAUGCAAGUCGAGCGGAAAGGCCAGUGCUUGCACUGGUACUCGAGUGGCGAACGGGUGAGUAACACGUGGGUGAUCUGCCCUGCACUUCGGGAUAAGCCUGGGAAACUGGGUCUAAUACCGGAUAGGACAAUGGUUUGGAUGCCGUUGUGGAAAGUUUUUUCGGUGUGGGAUGAGCUCGCGGCCUAUCAGCUUGUUGGUGGGGUAAUGGCCUACCAAGGCGUCGACGGGUAGCCGGCCUGAGAGGGUGUACGGCCACAUUGGGACUGAGAUACGGCCCAGACUCCUACGGGAGGCAGCAGUGGGGAAUAUUGCACAAUGGGCGCAAGCCUGAUGCAGCGACGCCGCGUGGGGGAUGACGGCCUUCGGGUUGUAAACUCCUUUCGCUAGGGACGAAGCGUAUUUGUGACGGUACCUGGAGAAGAAGCACCGGCUAACUACGUG